CGAGGGCAUUCAGGGGACUGUAAAUCCGUCGGCUUACGCCUACGCAGGUUCGAAUCCUGCAUCUGCCA
rnacentral:tRNA from 1 species